ACUAGUGAUACUCUUCGAUUACACUAUCAAACCCUAACAAAUCAAAAUACACGCACACCAGAUCCAUGUUCUCUCACUCUUUUGAUCGACCGGUGACCGGAGUUGGGGUGCCGGCCGGUGCCGACUCUGACGAAACCCCACACACAUCUCCUUUCUAAACUCUCACUCUUCGAUGAGAGUUUUCCGGCGACGAACCUGAAUCCGACGACGAACCAGCCGUUUGUUCUCCGUCAACAACCAACCACACACAACCUCAGCCCCUCCUUUUUCUUUGUAUAUCCCCCUCGUUACAGAAGUCCGGCAGCAAUCGCAGCGCCGCCGCCGCUACGGCGGCGGUGGAGGAGGUGGUCCGAUGAUGAUGAUGACGAUGUAACAGCUGUGGAUGAUGUCAAUGGUGGAGGUUUUUAAUGACAGAUUUGGUCCGAGGUUCUCUCCGGUUAGUGGCUUCAACCCUCCUCCAUUUCCCUUCGUUUCAGAUCUGUAAAGAUCGACGUCUUUCUAGCAGUGUCGGAAGAUGAUGAUGUUAAGGGUGAAAGAGGAACCAGCAGCGGCACUCGCCGGCGACGACGACGAUGGAGGUGGUCGUAUCUAAUUUCUCUGGUUACUUUCUCAAAUUAUGGCACGGGUGGAAUAGGAGAACCAUUGGAGAUUCGAGUACUUAGUGGGCGUUCGUUUUCUAGAAGUUUUAGCUUAUUUGCUUUUGCUGUGCAAUGAAGAUAUCGGUCCAGUCACGCCAAACUCUGGUAUUUCGGGGUGUGACAUUUUAAGUAACAAUUGAUAAAAUAAAAAAUCUGAAAUGAAAAAUGGACCAAUAUAGUAACCGUCGGAUUUUGAUUAAACAUAAAUAACCAUACAAUGUAGUAAGACCACUUAGUGGAAUUAAAAAUUACAAAACUAAUUUAAAGAAAAAGAACCAUUGACACAACCGGCGACAUUCAGCAAACGACUAAGGUUUUUCCAUCUUAUCCAUUUUGAGAGCAAAACAUAAAAGACCGAAGAUGAAAAACAUCCAGAAUACCUCACUAACUACUCGAUUACCCACAAAGUCCAAAAACAUCUUUUUUUCAGAACUUGGGAUCUAGGAGGAGAUGGUAAUCCAGACUUUCUUUUUCGUCACAAAUUCAAAAAACCUUUUCACUUCUUCUACGAACAACUCCUUGUAAACAGGAGUGAACAACACUAACAAUAGCGCUCUUAGCAGCAAAACAAAACGUAAAACAAAGAUUUUAGUUAUUUUCUGUACGUAAAUGAAAACAGAAACCAAAAUGUAAGCUUAUAAAUGAUUUUAGAUAGUUUUCAUGUUUCGGUGUUACGACCGAUCCUAAACUUUUGUCCAUUUUGGCUUUGGAACUUCUGUCUUCUUGUACGUUGGAACCUAACUGUCAUCAUUUUUCGCUUUGACGAUGAUAAAGUUUGAUGUUGGUGUGUUAAGAUCGUUUGUGGGUGUCGUCAAAAGCGGGUAAAGUGGUAGAGAUCGUAAGAUGCGGUGGUUUGAGGUGUGUGGAGCGAAGUGACGUGGGAUAGUGGGUUUGUUAGCUUCCACUGGCGAGAAUGAUAGUGGUGGUGAUAACAAACCCACUAUCCCACGUCACCUCGCUCUACACACCUCAAACCACCGCAUCUGACGAUCUCCACCACUUUACCCGCUUUUGACGACACCCACAAACGAUCUUAACACACCAACAUCAAACUUUAUCAUUGUUAAAGCGAAAAAUGAUGGCAGUUAGGUUCCAACGUACAAGAAGACGGAAGUUCCAAAGCCAAAAUGGACAAAAGUUCAGGAUCGGACGUAACACCGAAACAUGAAAACUAUCUAAAAUCAUUUGUAAGCUUACAAUUUGGUUUCUGUUCUCAUUUACGAACAGAAAAUAACUAAAAUCUUUGUUUUGCGGCUAAGGGCGCUAUUGUUGGCGUUACUCACUCCUGUUUACGAGGAGUUGUUCGUAGAAGAAGUGAAAAGGUUUUUUGAUUUUGUGGCGAAAAGGAAAGCCUGGAUUACCAUCUCCUCCUGGAUCCCAAGUUUUGAAAAAAAUAUGUUUUUGGAUUUUGUAGGUAAUCGAGUAGUUGGUGAGGUAUCCUGAAUGUUUUUCAUCUUCGGUCUUGUUUGCUUUGCUCUCAAAAUGGAUGAGAUGGAAAAACCUUAGUCGUUUCCUGAGUGUCGCCGAUUGUGUCAAUGGUUCUUUUUCUUUAAAUUAGCUUUGUAAUUUUUUAAUUCCACUAAGUGGUCUUACCACAUUGUAUGGUUAUUUAUGUUCAAUCAAAAUUCGGCGGUUACUAUAUUUGUCCAUUUUUCAUUUCAGAUUUUUUAUUUUAUCAAUUGUCACUUAAAAUGUCACACCCCGAAAUAUCCGAGUUUGACGUGACUGGACCGAUAUCUUCAUUGCACAGCGAAAGCAAAUAGAGCUCACAUCGUCACUUCGCUUGUUUAUUCUGCAACUCUCGAUAAUCGCUCGACGUUCAUUCGAAAAAUGCUCAGAUCGAAAGAUGCUCGCUCUACUUUGGCUCGGUUGAAAAAACGCUUGGUUCUGUGAUAACCGUCAAAAAUCCAGGAGUAUGGGGCAUGGACUAACUCUUACCGAUAUUCUUGGGGAAUAUGCUCUCAAUAUUUCGCACGUGCAUGGCUUUGUGGACGUUAUGGAGAUCGUGGGGAGGUUGCACAAUUAGCGGAUAGUUAGUUAUUUUGGUUAUUUCUAAUUUUAAAAAGGGGAUAACAAGCUUGAGUUAGAACACUUGGCUAAUUUUAGCAAACACACACUCUCGGCAGUUUACUUAGCAAUUUCAUACACUUUUGCACACUAGUGAUCCUUGUAACAAGCUUGUUAUCAUCCCGAGUUGUAAUAUCUUUCUGUUUAAUCUUAGUUGGUGAUCGGUAGUUUCCAUCACCCGAGGUUUUUUAUGCCGGAGAUCACCUCUUGAUCAAGGGCUUUUUCCUCGUAUAAAUCUAUGUCACCUCUUUAUUUGA